AUAGUGCAUAGUGGUGUUAUGGAGGCGAUGGGGGGUGGCGAUAGUGUGAUGAUAAUGGUGAUAGCAAAUAUCAAGAUGUGGUGGAAGCGAUGACACUAGUAAACAAUAACGAUGGAGGUAGUAGAGGUGCCAUUGAUGUAGUGGAGGCAAUAAUAAUAGCAGCGAUGGUGAUAAACAUGGCGAUUGCUACGACUGAAGCAAUAUUAGUGGUGAUAG
rnacentral:lncRNA from 1 species